rnacentral:rRNA from 1 species
CGGUUAAAAAGCUCGUAGUUGGAUCUCGGCAAGUAGAGGGCGGUAUGCUUCGUAGCAUUACUGCCCUAUUACUUGUAGUUUUGCCAGAGGUUCCUGGGUGCUCUUAAUAGAGUGUCUAGGGAUGCUGGCAGGUUUACUUUGAAAAAAUUAGAGUGCUCAAAGCAGGCUAUUACGCUUGAAUAUUCGUGCAUGGAAUAAUAGAAUAGGAAGUUGUUUCUAUUUUGUUGGUUUUCGGAAAUCGACUUAAUGAUUAAUAGGGACAGUCGGGGGCAUUUGUAUUCAAACGACAGAGGUGAAAUUCUUGGACCGUUUGAAGACAAACUACUGCGAAAGCAUUUGCCAAGAAUGUUUUCAUUAAUCAAGAACGAAAGUUAGAGGUUCGAAGGCGAUUAGAUACCGCCCUAGUUCUAACCAUAAACGAUGCCAGCUAGCGAUCUGAGGACGUUUUUUUUGUAGACUCCUCAGGAAGCUUCCGGGAAACCAAAGCGUGUGGGUUCCGGGGGAAGUAUGGUUGCAAAGCUGAAACUUAAAGGAAUUGACGGAAGGGCACCACCAGGAGUGGAGCCUGCGGCUUAAUUUGACUCAACACGGGAAAUCUCACCA